CCUACGGGUGGCAGCAGUGGGGAAUAUUGGACAAUGGGGGGAACCCUGAUCCAGCCAUGCCGCGUGUGUGAAGAAGGCCCUCGGGUUGUAAAGCACUUUCAGUGAGGAAGAACGCCUGGUGGUUAAUACCCAUCAGGAAAGACAUCACUCACAGAAGACGCACCGGCUAACUCCGUGCCAGCAGCCGCGGUAAUACGGAGGGUGCGAGCGUUAAUCGGAAUUACUGGGCGUAAAGCGCGCGUAGGUGGCUUGAUAAGCCGGUUGUGAAAGCCCCGGGCUCAACCUGGGAACGGCAUCCGGAACUGUCAAGCUAGAGUGCAGGAGAGGAAGGUAGAAUUCCCGGUGUAGCGGAGAAAUGCGUAGAGAUCGGGAGGAAUACCAGUGGCGAAGGCGGCCUUCUGGACUGACACUGACACUGAGGUGCGAAAGCGUGGGUAGCAAACAGGAUUAGAUACCCUAGUAGUC
rnacentral:rRNA from 1 species